UACGUAGGGGGCGAGCGUUGUCCGGAGUUACUGGGCGUAAAGGGCGCGUAGGCGGCCUGAUAAGUAGGGGGUGAAAUCCUGCGGCUUAACCGCAGGGCUGCCUUCUAAACUGUCGGGCUAGAGCACGGUAGAGGCAGAUGGAAUUCCCGGUGUAGCGGUGGAAUGCGUAGAGAUCGGGAAGAACAUCAGUGGCGAAGGCGACUACCUGGCCUGUUCUUGACGCUGAGGCGCGAAAGCUAGGGGAGCAAACGGGG
rnacentral:rRNA from 1 species